CAGUAGCCGCGGGAAUACAGAGGGUGCGAGCGUUAAUCGGAUUUACUGGGCGUAAAGCGUGCGUAGGCGGCUUUUUAAGUCGGAUGUGAAAUCCAUGAGCUUAACUUAGGAAUUGCAUUCGAUACUGGGAAGCUAGAGUAUGGGAGAGGAUGGUAGAAUUCCAGGUGUAGCGGUGAAAUGCGUAGAGAUCUGGAGGAAUACCGAUGGCGAAGGCAGCCAUCUGGCCUAAUACUGACGCUGAGGUACGAAAGCAUGGGGAGCAAACAGGAUUAGAUACCCCGGUAGUCCCUGUCUCUUAUAC
rnacentral:rRNA from 1 species